UGGGGUGUAGCUCAGUGGUAGAGUACAUACCUAGCAUGCAAGAGGCCCCUGGGUUCUGUCCCCAGCACCACGA
rnacentral:tRNA from 1 species